GCACUUGGCUAAAAGACCCUGCUAUAACCACAAACUAAAAUUUUCUUCCUUUUCUUUCUUUCAGUCUUGAGAAGGUAAAAUUAAACAGCUUAAUUAACAAAUGCCACUGAAAGGAAGCAGCUGCAGGCACAGCGUGAACCCCCGCCGCUCGGCUAAGCUGAAACAAACUGGCAGUCGAGGCAGUCACCUGUCCUCAAGCUUCAGAGUCCAAGAGCUGCUACCGUGCACUAACACCUCGACUUCAGGCUGGAAAUAAAACAAGUGUUUCCAGAGUUUUCAAAAGUGAGAUGUACCUAAGUGUCCAGAACUUUGAGAGUUAGGGUCAAGAUACAGCCAAACUGAACUAGGAUUUU
rnacentral:lncRNA from 1 species